CUAACCACAAAUCAACCAAUAAUAAAAUAGAAAUUAUAUUAUCAUUGGUUAUAUAACAUUAAGUGUUAAUAAAUUUUACAUAGAAAACCGAAAACGUCAUAUAAUUUCGAACAUAAAAAUUUCUCUAAAACGACUUAUAUUAAAAAAAAACGGAUAGAAUAGGUGAAUACAUGACUAAUGUGCAAUUGGGAAAUGGAAAUAUAUUGGCAAUUGGGCAAUUUUUGUUUUUAAUUCGAUGGUAAAAUCGUAACUGACAAGCUCCAAAAAUUCUUAUAAAUAUGAGAAUAUGGAUAUUUAUAGAACCACAAACGAAAACCACACCAAAAAGUCUCCUAAAUAAAAUUGUUCUUUUCUAAAACUGAAAUAUGUUUUCAAGUGGUAGUAUAUAUGAUUUGCGAGAAUGACUGUAUAUGCACAUAGAUUCCGAAGGAACAGUCACAAAUAAAUUUGUCAAUGGGCUAGAGAUUUUCAUGUUCCAAACUGGAAAUAUACCGAUAAUUUUGAAAACCGUUAAGAUAAUAUGUCCUUGUCGGAAGUGCAAGAAUACAAAAUUUUACUCGUAAUGAUAAAAUUUGGAACCAUAUAGUAAAUAAAAGGUUUACACUGAAUUACUGUAGUUAGUUUAAUCAUGGAGAAGAUUAGGGUGGAAAUGAAGCAAGUAGUAAUAAUAGUAAUUUAAUGAUGUUGAUAAUAAAGAAUCGAUCAGUAAUUUGCAUUACCAUGGUAGUUAUGAGAUGGAUCACAAAGAUAUAGAGCAUCAUAGAGUUCCUGACAUGGUCACAAAUGUCCUUCAUGACACAACGUCAACAUUUAGUGAUAAAGUAUUGUUCAAGAAACUAACUUAGAUGAAUUUGUUUUUUUACGAAAUGUUAAAUGAUGCCAACCAACCAAUUUUUUCUAGUUGUAGAGGAUGUCAAUUUUGACAUAACGUUUGUCGGUUGGUCCGAGUGGUCACAAACCUAUGCCUCAAAUAUCCGGUGAAACACUUUCUGCAUAUGUCCGUUUACUGAUUGCCGAAAAGCAAGGCGAACUUCCUUCUAUUUCCAUAUUUUCUAGGUAACUCAUAAGAACUGGAGUGGAGCCUUCGUUAAUGCUAGAUCAAAAAAACAACAAUGAUGCCAUGACAUGGAUCCAAGAGCAUCAGGCUCAGAUUUCUCAGCAGUCUGAAUAUGACAAUUGGAUUGGAAUCAAUCAACGAAUUUCAUAGGGUCACCUCUUCCUAUGUUCGUAGAGGUGAUGAUCUGGCUCAACUCUGAACGGAGUUGACAGAUGCACAUAACGAGAUUUCAUCAAUAAGGAUUGAGCAUCAAGCAACGUGCCAACAGUUGUAAACCAUGAAAAUUAUGUUUGCCAUACAUGUGGAUGGACUUGAAAGCUACUCGAGCUCUAGAGAUUAUACGUAAAAAUAUUAAUAUCAUCAUACAACCAACUUUGGAGGAGCAAGCUGCCCUGGAACGAAUAACGGAUAAAGCGGUUCGAAAGAGUUCUUCAACGACGUUGAUUUGAAAUAGUUUCUAUAUUGUUAUUUGUUUUAAAAUUUCUAUUAAAAAAUCCAUUUUAUUUCUGUCUUAUUUUUACAUUUAUUUUUAAUUAUUAUAAUAUAUUAAUUUAAUUAUUAUUGUAUUUUAAUAAAGGUAUACAUUUAUAAGUUAAUUCUUUGUUAACUUCACAAUUAAUUAACAUUGAAUUAAAACAAAUCUUUCGUAAUCUCUUAUAUAUUAAUUGAGAAACACUACAACAUUAUUUUGUAGCCACUUGUCACCGUGAGAAUAAAAUUCAGAAUUCUUAGAAAAAUA